AAACUUCGCAAUGUGCGCAAGCACGACGAGGGAAUCCUAAGUGCCUAUGCUUUGCAUAGGCUGUUCUCCUGUCUAAAAAACAGGGGGAGUAAGGGCUGGGUAAGACGGGUGC
rnacentral:rRNA from 1 species